UAAAAACAUGUCUUUUUGAUUAUAAUUUAAGGUUUAAUCUGCUCAAUGAUUAUUUAAAUUGCCGCAGUAUUUUGACUGUGCAAAGGUAGCAUAAUAAUUAGUUUCUUUAUUGGGAACUGGAAUGAAUGAUUGGACGAGAAAAUUUCUGUCUCUUUAUUAUUUUAAUUGAAUUUUACUUUUAAGUUAAAAGGCUUAAAUUUUAUUAGAGGACGAGAAGACCCUAUAGAGUUUAAUUUUUAUUUAAAUAAUUAUUUUUAGUAUUUAUAUAUAUUAUUUAAAUAAAAAUUUAGUUGGGGUGACUAAAAGAUAAGAAUAACUCUUUUAAUUUUAAUCAAUUAUUUUUGAUUAUAAAAUCUUUAUUUUUAAUUUUAAAAUAAAUUACCUUAGGGAUAACAGCGUAAUUCUUUUUUAAAGUUCUUAUUAAAAGAAGAGUUUGCGACCUCGAUGUUGGAUUAAAAUUAAUUUUAGGUGUAGAAGCUUGAAAAUUAAGUCUGUUCGACUUUUAAAAUUUUACAUGAUCUGAGUUUAAACCGGUGUGAGCCAGGUUGGUUUCUAUCCUUAAUUAUAUAUUAUACUUU
rnacentral:rRNA from 1 species